GGUGGCUCAGUGGUAGAGUGCUUGCUUUGCAUGCCUGAGGCCCUGGGUUCAAUUCCCCAGCACCA
rnacentral:tRNA from 1 species